UCCUAAAGAGAAACUUAUUUUCUCUUUAGAUCUGAAUGGCACAGACUUAACUCCUGUGCAAGAUACUCCUGUGGCUUCAAGAAAAGAAGAUACAUAUGUUCAUUUUAAUGUGGACAUUGAGCUCCAGAAUCAUGUUGAAAAAUUAACCAAAGGUGCAGCUAUCUUCUUUGAAUUCAAACACUACAAUCC